GGGGAAUAUUGCGCAAUGGGGGAAACCCUGACGCAGCAAUACCGCGUGAGUGAAGAAGGUUUUCGGAUCGUAAAGCUCUGUUAUUGGGGAAGAAAAAAAGACGGUACCCAAGAAGAAAGUCCCGGCUAACUACGUGCCAGCAGCCGCGGUAAUACGUAGGGGACAAGCGUUGUCCGGAUUUACUGGGCGUAAAGGGCACGCAGGCGGUUUUUUAAGUCAGGGGUGAAAUCCCACAGCUCAACUGUGGAACUGCCUUUGAUACUGUUAGUCUUGAGUAUAGUUGAAGUGGGCGGAAUGUGUCAUGUAGCGGUGAAAUGCUUAGAUAUGACACAGAACACCGAUCGCGAAGGCAGCUCGCUAAGCUAUAACUGACGCUCAUGCACGAAAGCGUGGGGAUCAAACA
rnacentral:rRNA from 1 species